AUUUCUUUAGUUUAAGUUUUAAAAUGUGACUUUGAAGAGGUUGAGAUGAAUGAAAUG
rnacentral:tRNA from 1 species